UCACAAGGAAGAGCUUGGUGCUGAACUCUCUGUGGCUGGCAUGUUUCCCUCCUAGAUUGGCACUGUUGAAGAAGAGCGGAGAGGAAGACUGGAGAAACAGACUCAGCAGGAGGCAGGAGAGCGGGAAGGCGCCGGCCAGCAGCCUGCACACCCAGGAAGGGGGGCGGUCCCUCAUCAAGAAGGAAGAAGGAGGAGUUGCGGAUGAUAGUGCCAUUUCUAACCUGCUUUGGGAACCUGUACAUGCUUCUACUUAUUCUCCUGCUAUUCCUGCUGCCCAUAAAUACCUGUGUUUUGUGUCGAUUAAUCAGGUGAGGAAAAGCCGCUCGUCUUAAGCCUCGAUGCAAUUUCUGAGCAGCAGGGGAAGAACUUCUGUUUAAUUUGGGGAAAUAACUUAUUUGCUGCAUUUCACUGUGAGAGAGAGGGGUGUGUGUGUGUGUUGGUACAAUUGUGUGUGUCCAUG